rnacentral:rRNA from 1 species
AGUGGCGGACGGGUGAGUAACGCGUGGGCAACCUACCCCACACAGGGGGACAACAGUUGGAAACGACUGCUAAUACCGCAUAGGCGCACAGCUUCGCAUGAAGCAGUGUGGAAAACCGAGGUGGUGUGGGAUGGGCCCGCGUCUGAUUAGCUGGUUGGCGGGGUAACGGCCCACCAAGGCGACGAUCAGUAGCCGGCCUGAGAGGGUGGACGGCCACAUUGGGACUGAGACACGGCCCAAACUCCUACGGAAGGCAGCAG